rnacentral:lncRNA from 1 species
CGAACGAACACUUCGAAUCUGUAUGCUCGUGCUUUCCGGGAAGGCUGGUCCGGUUAGUCCUUCUCCAAUUAGCAUCUCGCCUGAUCGUCUGCUGAGUGAAUAGCAGCAAGUGCUAGUUCAAGUCAGUAAUCAUUUGAUUCGCGGGAUCUGUACUGUGACGAGUAAGAAAAUAAGGUUGAAGUACUACGGAUAUCAGAGCUUUAGUUUAAGUGAUUCAAAUCAGUGAACUGUACUCGUCCAAGCCAGCGGGUAAGGUUCACCAGACCGGGCAGGGCAGGUGAACGACCAAGGAAAGUAGAGGAAAAGGAUAGGCGAGUCAAGGCG